GACGAACGCUGGCGGCGCGCCUAACACAUGCAAGUCGAACGGAGCUUAGAGAGCUUGCUUUUUAAGCUUAGUGGCGAACGGGUGAGUAACGCGUGAGUAACCUGCCCUAGAGUGGGGGACAACAGUUGGAAACGACUGCUAAUACCGCAUAAGCCCACGGUACCGCAUGGUACUGAGGGAAAAGGAUUUAUUCGCUUUAGGAUGGACUCGCGUCCAAUUAGUUAGUUGGUGGGGUAACGGCCCACCAAGGCGACGAUUGGUAGCCGGCCUGAGAGGGCGACCGGCCACAUUGGGACUGAGACACGGCCCAGACUCCUACGGGAGGCAGCAGUGGGGGAUAUUGCACAAUGGGGGAAACCCUGAUGCAGCGACGCCGCGUGGAGGAAGAAGUUUUUCGGUUUGUAAA
rnacentral:rRNA from 1 species